GAUCAGACGUGCCCAUUUUUAGAUUUGGUUAUCUUAUCAGGACAAAUUGGUUUGAUAAAAGUUGUGCAUGGCACGAUCUUCUCUAUAUUUUCGAAACUAUUGCCAAACUGCAGACAGACAUGAAGUACGCAAUUGUUGUCUUCUUUUUAGUGUUUGGGCUGGUCGCAUCUGAACUAUGUAAUCGGAAUUCCGCCGACUGCGCUCACGAGAAAUGCACAUCGCCACAAGUACCGACAUGUGAUGGCUACGUCUGCACAUGCGCAGACCCACCCGCAGAUAACAGUUGUCACAGCAAAAGUGACUGUGACGGAAAGAAUUACUGGGACGGCCACCACUGCAGAGUUGAGGACCGUCAUUGUUUUGAUUCAAAAUGCCGGUGCAGGCACUUUUAAAGGAAACUAGCAUCCUAUCAACAUCAAGGAUACUGACAUAAUUUAUAUUCUAUUGGUUGAUUUUCAAAUAAAUGAAUUUGAACUGUA